GGGGAAUCUUGCACAAUGGGGGAAACCCUGAUGCAGCGACGCCGCGUGAACGAUGAAGCCCUUCGGGGUGUAAAGUUCUUUCGACAGGAACGAUAAUGCCGGUACCUGGAGAAGAAGCUGCGGCUAACUACGUGCCAGCAGCCGCGGUAAUACGUAGGCAGCGAGCGUGGUUCGGAGUUACUGGGCGUAAAGAGUGCGUAGGCGGCGAGCCAAGUUUGGUGUGAAAUCUCCCGGCUUAACCGGGAGGGUGCGCCGAAAACUGGUUGGCUGGAGUAUGGGAGAGGAAAGCGGAAUUCCUAGUGUAGCGGUGAAAUGCGUAGAUAUCAGGAGGAACACCUGCGGUGUAGACAGCUUUCUGGACCAAAACUGACGCUGAGGCACGAAAGCGUGGGUAGCAAACA
rnacentral:rRNA from 1 species